AAGACUCUACUUUCAGGGAUCAUUUCUUUAGUCUGGAACUAGAGGAUUGUGUUUCUACAGAGGUUGGUCUGGCUGUCCAUGAUGAUGAAUGAAGAUGUUUCCUUCAGAGCAGGAAGCUGAUGAGAAUCUUCUUCACUGAUGAAGACUGUUCAGUGUUUCUGGAUGUGACACUGAAGGAGGAAACAUUGUCUGAGUGGA
rnacentral:snoRNA from 1 species